rnacentral:ncRNA from 1 species
AGCAAAUAAAGUUUGAUUGUUUCUUUACCCCUUGCAUUUAAAUUAAGUUUGUAUGAGAGUUAUUGCGUGUAUUUGCUCGGUGUUAAAUAUAUACGAGCUGUAAAUUCCUAGUUUAAUGAACUAUAAAAAUAAAAUCUCAGCAUAUAAAAUUAGACAAUUUAAUCAAUUAAGAUCUAGUAAUAAGUUAAAACCUAAUUAAUAUUGUGCCAGCAGUUGCGGUUAUACUCUAAGGUUAAGUAAAGGUAAGUCGGUUGAUUGUUAGGUGGACUGUUUGUUAAAUUGGUGUUAUGAAAGCCUAAAAGAAUAAAAAAGUGAAAUUAGAGUAUCUUUGGAGGUCUUUAAUAAGAUUAAUAUAAGCUGAAGCAAAAAAAUAUUGGAGUUAAACUAGGAUUAGAUACCCUAUUAUACCAAGAAGUAAUUAUAAAUACCUGAGUAGUAACAGCUAUGUUCUAAAAAUUUGAAAAAUUUGGCGGUGGUUUAGUCUUGUCAGAGGAACCUGUCUUUUAAACGAUACACCACGAAAUAUCUUACUUGAGUUUGUAUAGUAUGUAUACCAUCAUUAUUAGGUAAUUUUUAUAGAAUAAAUUACUGGAAAGUUUCGAUAAUGUUGAAUAUAUUAGAUCAAGGUGCAGCUGAUACUCAAGUUAAGGUGGGUUACAAUAGUAUUUACGCUAUUACGGAUAAGUAAAUGAAACUUUACUUUGAAGGAGGAUUUGAUUGUAAAUUUAGUUUAAUAAGCUAAUUUGAUAUAAGCUCUAAAGCAUGUACAUAUCGCCCGUCGCUUUCAUUACUAAGAUGAGAUAAGUCGUAACAUAGUAGGCUUACUGGAAAGUGAGCCUGGAAGGA